CGAGAUGACCGGACGGUUGCGUGGUAACACGAGGAAAGUCCGAACACCGCAGGACAGAACGCCGGCUAACUACCGGUGAAGGCGACUUCAAGGAAAGUGCAACAGAAAAUUACCGCCGCAAGGUAAGGUUGAAAAGGCGAGGUAAGAGCUCACCGCCGAGGCGGCAACGCUUCGGGCUGUGUAAACCCCGUUCGGUGCAAGACAAAAAGGGUUAAGGUGGUCCGCCGUCCUUUAAAAUCGCUCGAUCGUCGCGGCAACGCGGCGGCUAGAUAGAUAACCGUCAUAACAGAAUUCGGCUUACAGGUCAUACUCGCGUC
rnacentral:RNase_P_RNA from 1 species